GGGUGCUCAGGAUCUUUUGUCCUGAGCUUUUAGCCCGGGACAAAAAGAGAAAAGCCCCACUUGAUGUUAAUCAAAGUGAGGCUGCUCUUUACGACCCACAACGUAAAGGUAGCCUUUUACCUGCUGAAAAGCAAUGGAGAAGGAGGCGCAAAG
rnacentral:antisense_RNA from 1 species